rnacentral:rRNA from 1 species
ACGGGUGAGUAACGCGUAGAAUUUACCAAAAGGACUGGGACAACCACUGGAAACGGUGGCUAAUACCGGAUGAACCGAAAAGUAAAAAGGGAAACCUGCCUUUUGAAGAGCUCGCGUCUGAUUAGCUAGUUGGUGAGGUAAGAGCUCACCAAGGCAGCGAUCAGUAGCUGGUCUGAGAGGAUGACCAGCCACACUGGGACUGAGACACGGCCCAGACUCCUACGGGAGGCAGCAGUGGGGAAUUUUCCGCAAUGGGCGAAAGCCUGACGGAGCAAUACCGCGUGAGGGAAGAAGGCUCUUGGGUCGUAAACCUCUUUUAUCAGGGAAGAAAAAAAUGACGGUACCUGAAGAAUCAGCCUCGGCUAACUCCGUGCCAGCAGCCGCGGUAAUACGGAGGAGGCAAGCGUUAUCCGGAAUUAUUGGGCGUAAAGCGUCCGCAGGUGGCUUAUCAAGUCUGCUGUCAAAGAGUGGGGCUUAACCCCAUUAAGGCAGUGGAAACUGAGAAGCUAGAGUGCCGUAGGGGUAGAGGGAAUUCCCGGUGUAGCGGUGAAAUGCGUAGAGAUCGGGAAGAACAUCGGUGGCGAAAGCGCUCUACUGGACGGCAACUGACACUCAGGGACGAAAGCUAGGGGAGCGAAAGGGAUUAGAUACCCCUGUAGUCAA